rnacentral:rRNA from 1 species
UGGGGAAUAUUGGACAAUGGGCGAAAGCCUGAUCCAGCCAUGCCGCGUGAGUGACGAAGGCCUUAGGGUUGUAAAGCUCUUUUGGCGGGGAAGAUAAUGACGGUACCCGCAGAAUAAGCUCCGGCUAACUUCGUGCCAGCAGCCGCGGUAAUACGAAGGGAGCUAGCGUUGUUCGGAAUCACUGGGCGUAAAGCGCACGUAGGCGGAUUGUUAAGUCAGAGGUGAAAUCCCGGAGCUCAACUUCGGAACUGCCUUUGAUACUGGCAAUCUAGAGUCCGGAAGAGGUUAGUGGAAUUCCCAGUGUAGAGGUGAAAUUCGUAGAUAUUGGGAAGAACACCAGUGGCGAAGGCGGCUAACUGGUCCGGUACUGACGCUGAGGUGCGAAAGCGUGGGGAGCAAACAGGAUUAGAACCCACGUAGUCCCUGAGCGGGCUGGCAAGGCGCAU